GUGAGGGUGGCGGGGACGGCGUGAGCAAGCACCCCCGGUUGCGUGCGUGUGACCGUGCAGGGCGUGGAUGAUUGGGGCGGUGUGUGAGGAGGGGCACGUGUGUGGUGUGCUGGGAGUGAGUGGAAGCAUGCAUGUGUGUGCAUGUGUGUGCAUGGAAGCAAGUGUGUCCGUGUGGGUGUGCUCGGAGAGCCACGCACGGCAGGGACGCCGGGCGUGUGCAGGGAUGUGCGGGCCGCGCUGUGAUGCCGGGCAGCGCGCCCACCUGGGCUGAGCGCUUGCUGUGGACCAGGCGAGGCACCAGGCGCUAACGGGAGCUAUCCCCAGCCUGCAGCUACGGGCCGAGGACAGCCACCGGCCAGGAAACAGCAUGUGGAUCCCCUCUGGUCCCCUGACCACACAGACCACUACGGGAAGAAAAUGAGGACACCGCCAUUGGAUUUAGAGCCCAGGUAAGCCAGGAUGACCUCACCUUGAGGUUCCCACCUUAAUUCCAUCUGCAAAGGCCCUUACUCCAAAUCAAGAUCCCAUUCUGACCGUCGGGGUGGGCACAUGUUUUGGGGGCCUCUACUCAGCUCUCUGGGGGGACACUGAGGUACAGUGAGUAAUGAACCAGAAAAUCCUGGCAGCUACACGUGUCAGAAGUGUAGCCUUGUGAGCGCGAAUCGAUCUGCAGGAAUUUAUCCCAAGGGGGGAAAUCACACACCCGUGCAACAAGGAUUUAUGGAAACCGGAUCAUCACAGUCAGGUAUCUGUGUCUGCACACACCACUGCUUCACACAAUACAUAGGCAACGCAGAAGAGUGAGGAACUGGGGGAACCUGAGCUGUCCUAAGCCAGGUGGACCCCCCACGAAACGCAGCACAGUGCCGCGGCAAGGCGAGGAGGCCGGCCUUGGGCCCGUGGCCAGGCAGGGUGCCACGUGGCGGAGCUGCCGGCGGGACAGGGUGCGUGGUGCGGAUCCGUGAAAAUGCUCUAUUUAAAUGUGCAGAAAAGGGGUUUUUGAAGGAUGUCUGACAAAAAGUUCAGAGAGGUUACCUCUUGACAGU